rnacentral:rRNA from 1 species
UACGUAGGGGGCUAGCGUUGUCCGGAAUCAUUGGGCGUAAAGAGCGUGUAGGCGGCCCGGUAAGUCCGCUGUGAAAGUCGGGGGCUCAACCCUCGAAUGCCGGUGGAUACUGUCGGGCUAGAGUGCGGAAGAGGCGAGUGGAAUUCCCAGUGUAGAGGUGAAAUUCGUAGAUAUUGGGAAGAACACCGGUGGCGAAGGCGACCAUCUGGACGACAACUGACGCUGAGGCGCGAAAGCGUGGGGAGCAAACAGG